rnacentral:rRNA from 1 species
UACGUAGGGUGCGAGCGUUAAUCGGAAUUACUGGGCGUAAAGCGUGCGCAGGCGGUUUUGUAAGCCAGAUGUGAAAUCCCCGGGCUUAACCUGGGAAUGGCAUUUGGGACUGCAAGGCUUGAGUGCGGCAGAGGAGACUAGAAUUCCUGGUGUAGCAGUGAAAUGCGUAGAUAUCAGGAGGAAUACCGAUGGCGAAGGCAAUCCCUUGGGCCUGCACUGACGCUCAUGCACGAAAGCGCGGGGAGCAAACAGG